rnacentral:pre_miRNA from 1 species
GGGUCUCUCUAGUCAGACCAGAUCUGAGCCUGAAAGCUCUCUAGCUAGCUAGGGAACCCAC